CAUCAUCUUUCAAAGACUAAGAAAGAAGGAGGCUCCACGUGGGUGGAGCAGGGUGAGGGGAGAACAGAGUUUAAUUAGCUGGUCAGAGCAGUCUAGUAGCCUGACGGUCAUGGAAAAACAGGUUUCAUAACCAGACUGCCCACAGUUUUAAAAGUUAUCUAUUCCUUUUAUUGAGAUAUCGUUGACAUCUAACAACGUUCAGACUGUGUGUGGCUUUGUCUUCAUGAGUCAGAAUGGCUUCUAAAGCUCCAGAUAUUACCUCUGCAUAAAGUGGUCAAAUGUAGGAAGCUGUCUCUUGCCACAGAGGAUCCAUAGUUCUUUCAGUAACUCCCCAAUAUAAUCAACUGGCCUACAGUCAUUUGUAAGCACCCAAGUCCCACACAAGUAACUGGAAUGAUUUAAAAGAAUACCACGAGAAGAAUUUUUUAGAAGAAUUUAUGAGUUUGAGAUGACUGAUAUCCCAAAGAAAUAAUCUCCAGGCAACCAAGAUAACUCAUCACUCCUUGGUUAUAAUAUAUUAAAAAACCUUCACCAAAAGAUUGCAUUUUUUUCUUCUUUUUUUCCCCUUUUCCUUCAUCUAUUUCCCUCUUCCUCCCUCCCCAUCUUCCUCACCCCCUCCAG